AGUGCACCUCCCGCCGUAGCCUGAGAGGGAUCGGCCCGAUUGGCCACGCUCCUUCAAACCACCACUUUCCCCCGAAAAAGGGACGAAAGCCUCAGGUCCCCAAACGAGCGCUCCCUCGCCCAGAGACCCCGGCUUGCACACCCCGCCCUGUUCCCCGCGGCGCGGGAGGAGAGGCCGCCCCACACAGGAAGUGUGUCCUGCGCCGGGACCUUGCGCCCAACCCGCCGGUACCUGCCCUCCGCCCCCAACAGGCGAGAAGCAGCCGCGUCCACAUGGCUUCAGGUGUUCACAUGGCAGUAAACGGGCCCCUGCUCUCCUGGGCGCCCCAGCGCGGCGCCCUCCCGCCCACAUCCCGGCCCAGCCCCGCUGGCCUCGCCUCCAGCCCGUAGCCAAGAGGCGAGCGCGGCCGGUGCCCCCGGGGCUGCCAGGGGCCCCGAAGCAGGCGGCGCUGACUCCCGGACGCCGCCCGCUCACACCCGCCGCCUUUGCACCCAAGGCCUCGCGCGACCAGCAGGUCACUGAUUCUACUACCAUCUGUCAGCGUGGAUUGAUUGAGGAGACUGGCCCUGCUCGGCAGAUCAGUGACUUGUGCGAAGUGAGCCAGGGUGUCGGUGCCUUCAGAGCAGGCGGAUGUCCUUCCUCACUUGCCAGCUCUCGGUCCCACAGAAACUUCUGCUCUCCAGGUUUGCCCCUCCACUCUGCCCUCCAGGAUAGAAGUGUGGCAUCCUAAUCUGGGAUGCAUCCAUCUCUCCCCCUGGACUGUGAGCAUAUGCAGGGCAGAGACACCUCUGCUUCUCUUGGGUCUCCGGCAUCCUGUGCAGGAUGGGGCCACUGAGGUGCAAAGAGUUUAACUUAUCCCAAGUCACACAGUUUGGAAGAGGCUGAGCUGGUAUUUGAACCCAGGUUUUCAGAGGCUGCACUCUUAACCACCAAGCUUCCCAGCACUCAGCAAACACUGGAAAGACAGAGAUGGACCUAGACAGUCAGUAGGACCAAAAGUCUGCAGGCCGAUAGGGAAAGAAUGUAAGAGGACGGCAUGGGCAGCGCCAGCCCCUCCAGCAGUCAUAUAUUAAGCCCUGGACACUGGGCAGCUCGGGCAGGUCGGGGGGCCUCAGACUCUCGGACCCCAUGCCUGGAAGACCACGGUCUGCCCAACAAGCAGCAGCUGCUGUGAAUCGACUUACACAUCUUCCCCACAGGUGAGCAGAGAGCUAACACCUGAGGAUAGGCCAAGAAACGGGAAGCCCGUGCAACCUGAGCGCACAGAUCACCCCCACCUGCCCGGCACUCACUGUCCCCAGUGGCUGGACUCUCAUCGGGCCAGUCACUGAGCUGGCGCCAGCCUGGUCUCACCAGUGUGUGUCUUUAAAUCAUCCAAUUUCUUCAGCUGUAAAUUGGGCUGGGAGGGGCCAGGUGAGCUGCCUGCCUCAGGGGAGUCGGCGCCCUUACCUGAGUGAUCCCAUUCACUCCUCACAACAAACCCAUGAGGCAGGGAUUGUCAUCUUCAUUGUACAGAGCAGGAAAUGGGUGCACACAGAGGUUAAGAGACUUGCCCAGGUCACACAGCUAGGAAGAGGCUGUGAUUUGAACUCAGUCUUCUGGCUCCAAAGCCCCCACAGAGUCACUCAGGGCACUACAAAGAGUUAACCUGAAUAUGAAAUGAUCUAAGAGUCGCAGUGACAAAGGCAUGCUCUAAGCGCUUUUCCUGCAGUAACUUGCUUAAUCCUUACAACAACCCUAUAAAGUGGGUACUGUUCUCGCCUCAUUUUGCAGAUGAGGAAACUGAGGCACAGAGCAGCUCGGAGGGGGCAGAGCUGAAUCUGACAGGCUACAGGGCCCCUGCGUUGCUUUGUUAUAAGAUGACAAUAAGGAAGUUCCUUUCCUUUGGGAUUAUUUCUGCCUGAAAGCUCAAGACUUUUAGCCACAUCAUUGUCUGGGCUCCACGGGAAGGCAGUGCCACAUGCUGAGGCAUGCUGGGAAAAGACUUUGUUCCAUCCUGUUUUGUUGACAUGCUCUUCAUUUUUAAGCCUGAAACCGAAGCUUCCUGCUAAGAAUUCAAACCAUGGAGAAAAACGCAGCCAUGAUAACGGCCACUACUUCCUGAGCCUCCAGUGUUCCCUGUGCUUGGGGAUCCAUAUAUGUCACUUAACCUUAACCUUCACAACACCAGGGCAGCCUCCAUUUUCACAAGUGAAGAAAUGGAGGCCCAGAGUCACUUAGAAGAUGCUCGAAGGUGCACAGCUGCUAAGUGGUGGUGCUGGGAUUUGUCCUCAGGUCCUCAAGAGUCCUGACUCUUAUGUGCUGGCUCCCCACGGAGGCGUGGAGUCUUGUUUGCUGGGCAUUUGACAGAAAUGUUUCUGCUCAUCUUCUGCCACAGGUUGGUCCUUCAGCGUCAAGAUUCCUGGGCCACUUAUUAAUAGAAGGCACCAGGACACAGGUGCAGGGAUGCAGAGCUGGAUGCUGCCUUCUCAAUAGGAGAAGCCAAGAAACGCAGAUGCCGAUGCUUAAUCAACUCCGUCUCUCCCUCUAGUGACUCGGGGAUAGCUGCCCUGAUGCCAAGGCGAUUGUCUUCUGGAAGCAGCCACGCCGUGUGAGGUUCCUCAUCACUGCCCUGCAUCUCCCUGCGAGCUCUCGGGGAUAAUUGCAAAAUCACGUUUGAUUCCAGGGGAGCAGAAAGCAGCAGGAGCCGUGAAUUCUCCAACUCUUAACUGGUCCUCGACUGGAGCCACUUUUCCCUGCCCACCCAUCCCUGUGGCGGAUUCAUUACAGUUAUCCAAAGCCGGUUUUAACUUUGCUCCCCCUGGCUCAGAAGUCUGUCAGUGGGUCCUGAGCGGCUUCACCAUUCAAGUUUAUUCCUAUCAGCCUGGAAUACAAUGCUCUAUCUGGCUCCGCUUGCUUCUCCAAACCUUCUCUCCCAGGUCUCAUUCUGCCUCUCUGUCUAACUAGACAAGUUGGCUUCCUGUCCUGUGCCUGUCUGCUCCCUGCAGCAGGAAUGCCGUUCCCUCUUCCCUACAGAUUGAAAUUAUAUCCUCUUUCAAGUCUUACUCAAAUGCCACCUCCUCCACAAACUCUUAACACUUAUUCAUUCAUUCAACAAACAUUGACUGAGCCCUUAUGACAAGCAUUGAUCCCAAGGGUCCCUGUGGUCAUGAAGUUUAUGGUGCCAUGGAGCUGUUAGAAAAAGAAUCAUCACAUAAAUAAUCAUCUGAUAACAGCCAUGAUACAAAUUAGUAAGAAAGUGUGGCAGGAGCACAGCAGAUGUACAAUAGGGACCCUGAGCCUUGGGGAUCUAGGACAUUUGAGCUGAGGCCUGAAAGACAAGUAGGAAGUAACCACAUGGUGAAGUUGGAGGAGAGCUCCAGGCAGAGGGCACGGCAUGGGCAAAGGCCCUGCGGUAGGAGGGAACAAGUAGAUUUCCAGGAAGGGCACAGGGGCCUGCAGGGUAAUGUAAGUGAAAUGAGAAAGCUGGAGAUGCAGCUGGAGCAGGACAGUACAGGCCACAGAGGCUUUGCGACUUUAUCCCUGGGCAAAAAGAGGAGAUGAUGAAGGAUUCUGAGCACAGGACACAAGCCAGUAUGUAUUUAGACGCGAUCCUGCCCUGUGGCUGAGCCUCUUCUGAGAAGUGCAGGCCCUGUGUCACGUCACCCUGAACCUCAGUCAUCAGGGUUUUGGAUGUGAGUUUCCAUAUCCCUCUUCCUAGGCCAAGCUCUCAAAGGCAAGGCUGACCUCUGGUCUUCAGCUUCAUCCUCAUCAGCCAGGCCAGUGCCCAGCACAAGGAGCUGCUCCAAAAACAUACGUGGGUUGAACCAGUGACCAGGACAAGACGCUUAUCAGCAUUUCCCUGCGAAGGAGCAGGGCUGCCUGUAAAGCCUUCCACAUUCUCUAGAAAUUACAAAGUUCAAGGGUUUUAGUGAGGCCACGACUCAGGGAGCCCUUGAGAGCCAAGCUGGCAUCCCACUGCUGUGCACACCCAGCCUGGGCACACAGUAUGACCCUGCCCAGGCAUCUGCCUGCGGCCGUCUGGUGAAUGACCAGAAACAGAACCGAAAGCUCUGUAAAGUGCUCUCAAGGUUACAAAGCAUGUUUCACAGGAGCAGUUUCAUCUCACACGGGCAGCCCUCUGAGCUGGGUAGUUACUGCUUUACAGAUGAGGAAACUGAGGCCCGGGAGAGGGCGGGACCUCAGCAAAUCAAGAAAAAACUGAGACUAGGACCUAACGGAAGUCCAGGCUAUGAAUGGCCCCCGUAGGGUUAAAAGAGCUUUCUAGAAAUUUCUUUGAAAACUAUUGUAAAGUGACAUAUUUCCUCAGGAUGUCUGUCACGCCAGCAGUGGGAGCCAACACACCAACUCUCAGAGGCUGUUCCCCCUGCGCGGCAGAUCCAGACGCUCAGCUCCCAGGCCUGGAGGCUGGCGGCUUAGCCCAGGGCACAGGAGGAGGCUGCCUGGGUUUGGCGCUGACUUACAGCAGGUGCUGAGGGAAUGCUGAGGAGAGGCAAGGCUGAUUCAAGAGGCCGACAACAGAGAACAUUCCUAGAGCUCUCCCGCCAGCUAGGCAUGGUGCUAAGUGCAUUACCUGCGUCCACUCGUAACAUCCUCACAACACUGUGAAUACGAUGACCAUCCCCAUGUACAGGCGUGGACGCUAAGGCUCAGAGCAAUAAAUAAUUAGCCUGAGAUCACACGGCAGCCUCCUCCCCUAGGGCUCUCUAGGCUUCCUUUACCCGUCCUGCCUCAGAUGGACUCCCAGCAUCAUCAUCUGCCUCUGUGCCUUCUUGGUAGUAGGUGGGUGUGAAAAAGAAAGGAAGGGCCAGGUGCAGUGGCUCAUACCUGUAGUCCCAGCACUUUGGGAGGCUGAGGCGGGCGGAUCACCUGAGGUCAGGAGUUCGAAACCAGCCUGGCCAACAUGGUGAAACCCUAUCUCUGGUGGCAGGUGCCUGUAAUCCCAGCUACUUGGAAGGCUGAGGCUGGAGAAUCACUUGAACCUGGGAGGCAGAGGUUGCAGUGAGCAGAGAUUGCGCCACUGCACUCCAGUCUGGGCAACAGAGCGACUCCCUCUCAAUAAAUAAAAUAAAAUAAGGAAGGACAGAGGGCAAUGUGACCUUCGGCAAGCUCCCUAAGCUCCUGAAGCCUCAGCCUUUUCACCCGUAGAACAGGGACAUUAACAUCACCCCCGAGUGAGGGCUGCAGGCACACAGUGACUGCGCUUCUCAGUGCCACAAGUGCUGUUGCCAUCAUUCCAGCCUCAGGUGCUCCGUGAGGUGGGACGAUUCACCCCAUGAGCAAACAGGCUCAGGGAGGUGUGGUGCCUACAGUCACCCAGCAGACACAGCGGAGCAAGGAGGAAGCCACACCUG
rnacentral:lncRNA from 10 species